GGCGGACGGGUGAGUAACACGUGGGCAACCUGCCUGUAAGACUGGGAUAACUUCGGGAAACCGGAGCUAAUACCGGAUAAUCCUUUUCCUCUCAUGAGGAAAAGCUGAAAGACGGUUUACGCUGUCACUUACAGAUGGGCCCGCGGCGCAUUAGCUAGUUGGUGAGGUAACGGCUCACCAAGGCGACGAUGCGUAGCCGACCUGAGAGGGUGAUCGGCCACACUGGGACUGAGACACGGCCCAGACUCCUACGGGAGGCAGCAGUAGGGAAUCUUCCGCAAUGGACGAAAGUCUGACGGAGCAACGCCGCGUGAGUGAUGAAGGUUUUCGGAUCGUAAAACUCUGUUGUUAGGGAAGAACAAGUACAAGAGUAACUGCUUGUACCUUGACGGUACCUAACCAGAAAGCCACGGCUAACUACGUGCCAGCAGCCGCGGUAAUACGUAGGUGGCAAGCGUUGUCCGGAAUUAUUGGGCGUAAAGCGCGCGCAGGCGGUCCUUUAAGUCUGAUGUGAAAGCCCACGGCUCAACCGUGGAGGGUCAUUGGAAACUGGGGGACUUGAGUGCAGAAGAGAAGAGUGGAAUUCCACGUGUAGCGGUGAAAUGCGUAGAGAUGUGGAGGAACACCAGUGGCGAAGGCGACUCUUUGGUCUGUAACUGACGCUGAGGCGCGAAAGC
rnacentral:rRNA from 1 species